GCUUGGUAUUUGUCAUUUAUUCACUGAGCAAACAUUUAUUAAGGCACUGUGUUAAGUACCAGGGAUAUACUAGAGAAUAAGAAAGACAGAAAUCCUGUCACCUGGGGGGAGAAAAAUAACAGAUUAGCAAAUGUAAAUGCAUAUGCAAUUGCAAAUUUAUGAAAGUAUCAGGAACAGUGUUCUGUAAUGGAAAUCAAGUGGGGGACAGGUAUGUGAGUCAUUGCUAAAAUAAGGUUACUGGGAAAAUCUUGCCUGAGAGAAUAAUAUUUAAGCUGAUGUUCAAGGAUGAGAAGGAUACAGACAGGUGAAUAGUCAAAGGCAAGCAUGCCAGGAAGAUGGCAAAGCAUGUGUGAAGCCAGCCAGCCUGGAGAACAUCUUGCUUCAGUGGGUAUGCCACCUGGAAAAAUGAAAGGUAUCGUUGAUGACGGUUCCUUAAGUGGAGGAAGAGCAACGCACGGCAUUAACGGGUUGAGUGCUGAGUCUGGGAAGACAUUGCAAAAUCUGAGCCUUUAAGUGGGUUGGUAUAUUUAAAAAGUAUAUAUUUCUAUUCACUUUCCCAUGAUAGUUUUAAUUUUCAGAAGUUUAUUCUUGUGUGUGUGUAGAGUGUUAAAGCCGGAGGCCCUGAAAUCAGUGUUUGUAAACGGACAUGAGGCAUUAUAGAAAUGCCUUGAAAUUGUAUGCAAAAUUUGUAAUUGAAUGUGUGCAUUUUUUCCCAGGGACAGGAAAAUAAUGUUUUUCAGAUUUUCGAAGUUUUUCAUAUUUUGAACAGUAUCGAGGUGUGUUGUCUUUUACUUCACUUUGGUGAGAAGCCUUUCUGCGUCCUGCUCUUCUGCUUCCCAGGGUCAAACCCGUGUCCUCUGCCUCCAGCCGCAAGUGGAGCCAUCAGAGCAUACGGAUAUUCACAAAAAAGCCAAGAAGGAAGUCCAAGAUAAGGAAAAAAUUCCUCCUGAUUCCCUGGGAGCUGGCUGCACUCUGUCUGACCUUGACAUUCAAAAGGAGCUCCCUCUUCACGUGGAGACACACUUUUGUGGUGCCAAGACAAGGGUGAAGUCUUACACCAUGCCUGAGAGAAGACUGUUUGAGAGGAAUAAGAAAUUCAAGCUGCUGCACAGAGGAUUACCCUACACAAUGAAAACUCUAAAAGAAAACAGGUCAAAUUUAGGCAGCAGAAGGAAAUAAGAAACUGCAAAUAACUGGUGUUUGUGGAUGUGUGCCAAAGAAGCCCGGAGUCAUGCUUUUCCUUUAUGUCAAGCCACAAAGACAGUUUUCAGUGUUCCCACAUCCAUUCUCCCCUGUGAAGCCCCUCAAGUGGCCAAAUUGCUUUGAUUGUUUACUCUCUGCAAUGGACUGAAUUUUUGUUGUUCUGCCAAAACUCUAAUGUCAAUGUGAUGGUAUUGUGGAGUGGGGCCUUUGGGAAGGAAUUAAGUCACGAAGGUAGAGCCCUCAUGAAGGGGCUUAGUGUCCUUAUAAGAAGAGGCCAGAGAGCUAGCUAGCUCUCUCAGCCAUGUGAGGAUGCAGUGAGAAGAUGACCAGGAAGUGGGCCCUCACCAGACACUGGAUCUGCCUGCAUCUUGAUCUUGGACUUCCCAGACUCCAGAACUGUGAGAAUUAAACGUCAUUUAAGCCAUUCAGUCUAUGGUUUUCUGUUACAGCAGCCAGAAAGGGCUGAGACACUCUUUGUAAUAUACAUUUCACUUUACCUGAACAUCAUGAGAGCAAUGCUAGGCUCUGUAUACUGAUUAAACUAAUGUUCAUAGCUAGUGAAAAAAUAAAUGACAAUCUAUAAGGGGGGAGGGUUGUAGA
rnacentral:lncRNA from 1 species